rnacentral:rRNA from 1 species
ACAGGGAUUGCCCUAGUACGGCGAGUGAGCGGCACAGCUCAAAUUUGAAAUCUGGCGUCUUUGGCGUCCGAGUUGUAAUUUGCAGAGGGCGCUUUGGCAUUGGCAGCGGUCCAAGUUCCUUGGAACAGGACGUCACAGAGGGUGAGAAUCCCGUACGUGGUCGCUAGCCUCUACCGUGUAAAGCCCCUUCGACGAGUCGAGUUGUUUGGGAAUGCAGCUCUAAAUGGGAGGUAAAUUUCUUCUAAAGCUAAAUACUGGCCAGAGACCGAUAGCGCACAAGUAGAGUGAUCGAAAGAUGAAAAGCACUUUGGAAAGAGAGUUAAAAAGCACGUGAAAUUGUUGAAAGGGAAGCGCUUGCAGCCAGACUUGCCUGUAGUUGCUCAUCCGGGUUUCUACCCGGUGCACUCUUCUAUAGGCAGGCCAGCAUCAGUUUGGGCGGUUGGAUAAAGGUCUCUGUCAUGUACCUCCUCUCGGGGAGAACUUAUAGGGGAGACGACAUGCAACCAGCCUGGACUGAGGUCCGCGCAUCUGCUAGGAUGCUGGCGUAAUGGCUGUAAGCGGCCCGUCUUGAAACACGGACCAAGGAGUCUAACAUCUAUGCGAGUGUUUGGGUGUCAAGCCCGAACGCGUAAUGAAAGUGAACGGAGGUGGGAACCUUUCGGGGUGCACCAUCGACCGAUCCUGAUGUCUUCGGAUGGAUUUGAGUAAGAGCAUAGCUGUUGGGACCCGAAAGAUGGUGAACUAUGCUUGAAUAGGGUGAAGCCAGAGGAAACUCUGGUGGAGGCUCGCAGCGGUUCUGACGUGCAAAUCGAUCGUCAAAUUUGGGCAUAGGGGCGAAAGACUAAUCGAACUAUCUAGUAGCUGGUUCCUGCCGAAGUUUCCCUCAGGAUAGCAGUAACGUUUUCAGUUUUAUGAGGUAAAGCGAAUGAUUAGAGGCCUGGGGGUUGAAACAACCUU